rnacentral:misc_RNA from 1 species
AAGUCGUAACAAGGUUUCCGUAGGUGAACCUGCGGAAGGAUCAUUACCGAGUUAGGGUACUCUUCGUGCCCGACCUCCAACCCUUUGUCUACCUGACCAGAUGUUGCUUCGGCAGGCCCGCCGCCUCUUACGGGGUGGCCGCCGGGGGUCCUUACCGGCCCCGGGUCCGUGCCUGUCGAUGGCCCUUCUUAAACUCUUGCUUAAAACGUGUCGUCUGAGUAAAACAAACAAAUAAAAACAAAACUUUCAACAACGGAUCUCUUGGUUCUG